UACAGAGGGUGCAAGCGUUGUUCGGAAUUAUUGGGCGUAAAGGGCGCGUAGGCGGUUCGGCAAGUCUCUAGUGAAAUCUCUGGGCUCAACUCAGAGUCUGCUGGGGAAACUGCCGGGCUUGAGUGUGGGAGAGGAGAGUGGAAUUCCCGGUGUAGCGGUGAAAUGCGCAGACUAUCAGGAGGAACACCGAGUGGCGAAGGCAGGUCUCUGGG
rnacentral:rRNA from 1 species